UACGUAGGGGGCAAGCGUUGUCCGGAAUCAUUGGGCGUAAAGCGCGUGUAGGCGGCUCGAUAAGUCUGCUGUGAAAGUCCAGGGCUCAACCCUGGGAUGCCGGUGGAUACUGUCGAGCUCGAGUCCGGAAGAGGCGAGUGGAAUUCCUGGUGUAGCGGUGAAAUGCGCAGAUAUCAGGGGGAACACCAAUGGCGAAGGCAGCUCGCUGGGACGGUACUGACGCUGAGACGCGAAAGCGUGGGGAGCAAACAGG
rnacentral:rRNA from 1 species